UAGCGGCAGGCUUGACNCAUGCAAGUCGAGGGGCAGCGCGAUGUAGCAAUACAUUGGCGGCGACCGGCGCACGGGUGCGUAACACGUAUGGAAUCUGCCCUGUACUGGAAGAUAACCCGGCGAAAGUCGGACUAAUAUCCCAUAAUAGCCGAGGUGGCAUCACCUUGGUUUGAAAGCUCCGGCGGUACAGGAUGACCAUGCGCACGAUUAGCUAGUUGGUGAGGUAACGGCUCACCAAGGCUACGAUCGUUAGGGGGGCUGAGAGGGUUAUCCCCCACACUGGUACUGAGACACGGACCAGACUCCUACGGGAGGNAGCAGUGAGGAAUAUUGCGCAAUGGAGGGAACUCUGACGCAGNCAUGCCGCGUGCAGGAAGAAGGCGCUACGCGUUGUAAACUGC
rnacentral:rRNA from 1 species